AUUGAACGCUGGCGGCAGGCCUAACACAUGCAAGUCGAGCGGAUGAAGGGAGCUUGCUUCUGGAUUCAGCGGCGGACGGGUGAGUAAUGCCUAGGAAUCUGCCUGGUAGUGGGGGACAACGUUCCGAAAGGAGCGCUAAUACCGCAUACGUCCUACGGGAGAAAGUGGGGGAUCUUCGGAACUCACGCUAUCAGAUGAGCCUAGGUCGGAUUAGCUAGUAGGUGGGGUAAUGGCUCACCUAGGCGACGAUCCGUAACUGGUCUGAGAGGAUGAUCAGUCACACGGGAACUGAGACACGGUCCAGACUCCGACGGGAGGCAGCAGUGGGGAAUAUUGGACAAUGGGCGAAAGCCUGAGCCAGCCGUGCCGCGUGUGUGAAGAAGGUCUUCGGAUUGUAAAGCACUUUAAGUUGGGAGGAAGGGCAGUAAGUUAAUACCUUGCUGUUUUGACGUUACCAACAGAAUAAGCACCGGCUAACUUCGUGCCAGCCGCCGCAGUAACAC
rnacentral:rRNA from 1 species